rnacentral:tRNA from 1 species
CGGCCGGCAGCAGGGUUUGCGUGGUGGUGGCGCCCGCCGCGGCCGCGGCGCAGACGCCGCACAGCGUGCAGGCGCCGCCGGCCGCC